rnacentral:rRNA from 1 species
ACCUCCACUCAGGCAAGAUUACGCCGUGAACUAAAGCAUUUCAGUAACGGCAGGAAAAGAAAAUAACCAUGAUUCCCUCAGUAACUGCGAGUGAAGUGGGAACAGCUCAACGUUGAAAGCUGCAUUUGUGACCGAAUGCCGCAUUGUAGCGUAUAGAGCUGCGCGUCGAGGCAUCGCUCCGCAUCAAAGUCGUUAUGAAUGACGCACCGCAGAGGGUGAUAGUCCCGUGUGUGAUGCGGCAGCGCGCGGUGUCGAGAACAGCAGCCUCGUAGAGUCGGAUUGUUUGGGAAUGCAGUCCAAAGCGGGUGGUAAACUCCAUCUAAAGCUAAAUACAGCCUCGAGACCGAUAGCGAACAAGUACCGCGAGGGAAAGUUGAAAAGCACUCUGAAAAGACAGUGAAAAGUACGUGAAACCGUCAAUGGGGAAGCGCACAGUAGAAUCAAAGUGGCACGCUGUGGGUGCGCGUUAUACUUGUCAUAGUGUAUACGUGGCAGGGAUCGGCGUGCCACGCGCUGAGCUCGUCGCAGUUCGGUUGACGUGUUGUCGUGGUGAGCCACCGAAGCUGCGGUGCGAACCGCAACUUGGCGGCUGGCUGGCAGGCGCGUUGUAAAACUGACGCUGUGGCGAUGGUUGUGACAAGGCCGAGUGCGCGCUGUGAAAGUUGUCAUUGGUAGAUUGCCGACAAAACGGAGGCGACAACAGUGGCGAGACAAGCAGCAGCGACGCGCUGGGCCGGCUGGAGACGACUGACGCACACACAGUCUCAGCGAGAUAUGUACUGUUCGACCCGUCUUGAAACACGGACCAAGGAGGCUAACGCACGCGCGAGUCAGGGAGUGCAGAAACUCUUGGGCGCAACGAAAGUGACACGACACGACAGGUGAGAUCCAUCGACGUGUGUUGGUGGCGCAUCACGAGCCAGUUGUGGGGCGGCCCGCGAUUGAGCUGAAGCGUGUGCGAUAGGACCCGAAAGAUGGUGAUCUACGCCUGAGUAGGGUGAAUUCGUUGGAAACAACGAUGGAGGCCCGAAAGCGGUUCUGACGUGCAAAUCGAUCGUUGAACUUGGGUGUAGGGGCGAAAGACUAAUCGAACCAUCUAGUAGCUGGUUCCCUCCGAAAUAUCCCUCAGGAUCGCCGAGACUCUGCGGCUCAGUUUCAUCGGGUAGAGCGAAUGAUUAGAGGGAUUGGGGUUAUUGUUGACCUCGACCUAUUCUCAAACUACAAACCGGUGAGUGACACUGCUGCCGCCGUUGUGAUUACUUGACUGAAUCAUGGGCGGAGAGAGCGAAUGAGCGAGUCUCGAGUGGGCCGUUUUUGGUAAGCAGAACUGGCGAUGCGGGAUGAACCGAGAGUCGGGUUAAGGUGCCCAAGUGGAGGCAAACGGACACCACAAAAGGAGUUGGUAAAUGUUAACAAUAGGACUGUGGCCCUGAAAGUAGGUACCAGCUAAGAAGUGUGCAACAACUUACCUAUCGAAUUUACCGGCCCUGAAAAUGGAUGGCGCUUAGCCUCCCACCGAUACCCGACCGUGGAUGCGAGAAAUGACUCAUCCAUGGGUAGGAGGGUGUUACGGUUGCUGCGAAGGCUUUGCGUGAGCAUGGCUGGAGCGGCCGUAAGUACAGAUCUUGGUUUUAGUAGCAGCGCAUAGAAGUGAGAACCUUCUAGGCCGAAGUGGAGAAGGGUUCCUCGCGAACAGCAGUUGGGCGAGGGUGAGUCGGUCCUAAGCGGCAGCUCACAUGCUAAGUAAAAGGAAACGUUGCGCGGCAUCACACAUGCGGUGGGCUGUUGCGUUUCAAUCCGCGAAAGGGAAUCAGGUUAAUAUUCCUGAACCGGGCGAUGCAUAGCUGGCGAGUUGGGUGCAGUGUUGGUUUCGCCGCCGGCGCUGUGCUUGUCUCAUCAGUAGAGCGGUGACGCAAACGAACUCGGAGAUGUUGUUGGCAGUUCUGGGGAGAGUUGUCUUUUCUGUUUAACCGGUUGAGUGAGCCUGGAAAAGAGUCGUUCGGAGAUAGGCUUAACAGCCGGGAAGAGCGUCGCAAUGUUGUGGCGUCCAGAGUGCUGUGAACGAUCCUUGAAAAUCCGAGCGCGUGGUUGAUUGUCGUCCCUGGCCGUACCGAGAUCCGCAUCAGGUCUCCAAGGUGAAUAGCCUCUGGCUCUAGAAUAAUGUGGGUAAGGGAAGUCGGCAAAAUAGAUUCGUAACUUUGGGAAAAGGAUUGGCUCUAAGGAUUGGGCUGUUUGGACUGUGUGUUUGUUGACAGUGUACGCCGCGUUGGCCUGUAUGACACAGCUGUGUGCCUGCUGCCUCGCCGCGGCGGUGUGCAGUUGUUUGUAUGGGUUGAUGCAGCGCUGCAGUGUCCAAGAUGCAGUUUGCAACGAUUGUGUCCACCUUUUGGCAAGGCAUGAGAGUUGUCUCGCAGGCAGCUAAAAUCAAUCAACUUAGAACUGUCACUGACUAGGGGAAUCCGACUGUUUAAUUAAAACAUAGCAUUGCGAUGGCUGGAAA